AGAAGACGUGACAAGGAUGAGAGAUAUGGACGAUGAGGAUGACGAUGACGAUGAUGAUGAGUUGGAUUAACCGCAGCCUGUUGUGAGAAGAAAGAAGCUAGCUUCUAAGAGGGGGCGAGGCCACAAGCAGCGAUGAACGUUGAACUAGUAGUGUUGUUGGUGUUUGAACAUGUUGAACUAGUAGUUGUCAGUGUUUGAACAUGUUGAACUUAUUUGGCUAUGUGGGUGUUUUAAGUUGUGAACCAUUUGCACUAAUGCUAUGAAUUGUGUCUAUGUGGGUGUUUUAAG
rnacentral:lncRNA from 1 species